rnacentral:rRNA from 1 species
GACGAACGCUGGCGGCGUGCUUCACACAUGCAAGUCGAACGGGGAUGCAGCAAAAGCUUGCUUUUAUUGCAUCCUAGUGGCGGACGGGUGAGUAACACGUGAGCAACCUGCCCGACAUACUGGGAUAACAGCGGGAAACCGUUGCUAAUACCGGAUACUCCAUUUCUGGCGCAUGUCAGAGAUGGGAAAGGGUUUACCGAUGUCGGAUGGGCUCGCGUCCCAUUAGCUGGUUGGUGAGGUAACGGCUCACCAAGGCUGCGAUGGGUAGCUGGUCUGAGAGGACGAUCAGCCACACUGGAACUGAGACACGGUCCAGAAUCCUACGGGAGGCAGCAGUGGGGAAUAUUGCACAAUGGGCGAAAGCCUGAUGCAGCGACGCCGCGUGGAGGAUGAAGGCCUUCGGGUCGUAAACUCCUGUCUGGGGGGAUGAACACUGACAGUACCCCCGGAGGAAGCCCCGGCUAACUACGUGCCAGCAGCCGCGGUAA